rnacentral:rRNA from 1 species
UACGGGGGGAGCAAGCGUUGUUCGGAUUUACUGGGCGUAAAGGGCGCGUAGGCGGCCACCGCAAGUCAGUUGUGAAAUCUCUGGGCUUAACCCAGAAAGGUCAACUGAUACUGCGGGGCUAGAGUGCAGAAGGGGCAACUGGAAUUCUCGGUGUAGCGGUGAAAUGCGUAGAUAUCAGGAGGAACACCUGCGGUGUAGACGGCUUACUGGACCAUAACUGACGCUGAGGCACGAAAGCGUGGGUAGCAAACAGG